rnacentral:lncRNA from 1 species
ACAGACCCAAAUGGCGCGGGAGGAGGAAGAAGGGGUCAGCUUCAAGCCUGACGUUCUAGGGGGGAGCCGCUUCUUAAGUACGUGCUAGGAUCAAGGGUGCAUUUGCAAACUUUUCAAAAUGCCUUAGAGGAGUCCUAACCAGCCCCAGGGUGUCUGAGGCACGCUGCCCACAGGACACUUGCUCUCUCUUUCUUGUGACCCCAACAUGUCAGCUGGCAAGACUCAACAUUCCUGUCUGGGACUGAGCAGCUUGAACCACUUGUAUGAGUCACAGAAAAGGAGAAUCAUACCCCCAUUCCACCACCCCACUCCAACCCCUCCACUGUGGCUCCAAUGUUACAGACCACUCCUAACUUCAGUCCCGGAAGAAUGGAAGGAAGGCUGCAACUUAAGAGACUGCGGUUAGAAGUGAUCUUCAUAAAUUGUUUGCCUUGCCUGUGUCUAGAGUCCUUAAGAUGGAGUGAAGGUACCUGAGCGCAGGAACCAUGGUCUUCAUUGCUGCCUCAGCAUUAGCGGAAGUGCCACGGGCCGGCUCCCAGGGGGCCAGAGUUUCCCAGGAACACCAUUGAGUACCACUGAACUAGAGUCUGCAAGUUAAAGUAAGGCAAGAAGGAAAACCGGAAACAACUGUAAAAACCUGACCUUUCGUCACCUUAAUACUGGCCAUCAUUUAUCGAGUGCUUAUUAUGUAACAGACAUUGUUCUCAGUGUGUGAGUGCAGUGUUCCUCAAACCUAAAUGUGGGCCUGAAUCGCAGCGGAUCUUGGUAAAAUGCAGUUUCUCAUUCAGUACCUCUGGGGUGCGGCCUGAGAUUCUGCAUUUCCAACAAGCUCCCAGGAUACUUUGUAUAGAAAGGCUUUGGUGUAUUAACUAACUCGAUCUUCUUAAUAAUCCUAUGAAAUACUACUGCUAUUCCCAUUUUACAGAUGAGGAAACAGAGGUUAAGCAUAUAUGAACUUACAUCAAAAUAAAUAGACUGCAGGGCAAGGAGGGAGGGGAGAAUAGUGUGGGCAGUGUACAGUGCAGAAACAAAGUUCUAGGCAGAGGAAAAAGGAUUUACAGAAAGCCUGGCAUACAGGGCAGGGGGACGGGGCCUGCACACGGGGCUGUUUCACCGUUAGACGUUAUAAGCACAGUACUUGGGGCUAUGGGCUUCCUGAAGGUCCCAAGUAUUUGAGACCUGAAAAAAAUUUAUUGACACCUACAUAGGAAAAGUGAACUUUUAAAUUAAUAAUUCCAAAAUUCAAAUCACGAAUUGUUUCAAAAAUUUUACAUGAUAGAAUUCAUAUUUAGUAAGCGAUACGGGUAUAUUUUAAUGCAUUUGAUUUUAAAAACGGGGUAGGGCCUACUAAGAACAGGCCAAGCCCUGGCCCCAGUGGGUUUGGAUAUAAUCCUGAGGGCAGCUGGGAACCACUGAGAGAAGCAGGAGAAUGUUCUCUGUGGCUACAGUGAGGAGAAUGGAUUGGAGGGAGGCCAGACUGGAGGCCCAGUGGCUAGAGACCAGAUAGGCAGUUACAGUCUUCCAGACUGCGAGACAAUCUCUCUUUAGUGCCAAGAUUAGCAUAAAAUCAUAGCAUUAUAUAACCCAAUUAUUCUUUGAUUCCUGCAUCCCCAAUCUGACUCAGCAUUCUAAAUUUACUUAAGAUCUGGGGACAAGGGUUUUUGGCAAAUCCUUGAAGGCAAAUGAUGUUACAGUCAAUCAGUAUAUGCCUUGAGCCAGACAGACAUGGGUACGGGCCUCAGUUCUGCUGCUUGCUAGCUAUGUGACUUUGCACAAGUGAUUUAACUUCUCUGGGCCUUGGAUUCCUUACUGGUAACACGAGCAUAAUCGAUUCCUCACAGAAUUAAGUGAGAAAACUAUGUAUGUAGGACUUCUUAUGGAGUGGGUACUUAGAAAUAAAUGGUAGCCGUUAUCAUUUAUGUGCCUUUGUUCUGAAAUCUGCUUAAGUUUUCUCUAGGAAGUAACAGAGGGUAGAAUAAAUUAUUUAGUAUUUUCAUCAAUCUUCUGAGAUAAAAAUUAUUAUCCUCAUUUUGCAGAUAAGGAAAAGGGCUCAGAGAUUAGAUCACAGCUCUGUGAAGUAGGGGCACAAAGUGGUCAACCUGGAAGAGCUGGACUUUAUUUUGCUUGCACUUCUGUCCAUGCACUCUCUCCAGCAGUUGACAUUUGCCCUCUUUGAUGGCUCCACGACCAAUUUCCCUUAGUCAUGGCAUGAGUCAGCUGUGAGGGCUGAUGGCACACCACCGAAUACUCUGCUGUGGCGCCACUAGCCUCCAUUUACCUUCUUCUCCAACGUUUUCCAGCCUCCCUCAUACCUUGCCCCCCAGUUUUAUAGCUUCUGGAUUUUCCUUAUUAAAGAGCUUGUUUCUGAGACUCA